AAUGAACUUGAUUUUGGGUCUUUUGAGGGUGGAGGUUUGCUUUGCACCCUUUCUACCCGCGGCACACACUCUCUGGCGCGCUCGCAGACUCACGCACGCCGCCCCCAAAAUUCCUGUUUUCCGCAGAGGGUGGGUGGGAAGAGGUAGAAGCAAAGGCUGCCCAGACAAUGGAGAGAAAAAGUUGCAUCCAAAAGUUUCUCACAGGCUUAAAAAGGGAAAAUGGACAACCGUUACACAGAAGAGCCCACAAAAGCUGCUGCAACACACAGAGGGGUAAAGAAGCAGCCACAGACACAGCUCUUGCCUGUGAUUUGAGGGGAGACUCAACAAUUCCACACACCCUGGCUUCAUUGCCAAUAUCAAUAUUUUAAAACUAAAUACAAAAGAGACAGAUGACCUCCUGACCCCAGGAAAUAGGCCUGCAAAACUGCAAGUAUCCACUACACCAUGCCCAGGGACCUUUCCUUCUUCCAAAUGAACCACAAAAAAAAGCAUGUGUAGCUUGGAAAACACAGUUUUAUAUCCACAAGCCGGAACACCAAAAAUCCUCUCAAAAAACACAUAUAUAAACAACCAACAAGUACUGACAUUGCCUGUACUUGAUGGGAAUUGCAAAAUCGUGCCCAGCGCUUUCAGCCUUUAAACUACUACUGUCAAAUUAGGAUAGCAGUUUUUUCCUACUAGAAAAUUCACAACCAGUUACCUCCCCACCCCAACCCCACCCCACCACCAGGGCUUUGCCUUUCACUGAAAUGAAUAAAUAACCAUGGACUUCUUUUCCCUCCUCUGGGGGCUGUUUGGUGUCCCCUGAGGACAAAACUAAAUGAGAAAAAAUGACGCUGUUAAUAAUGUCAUUGCUGAAAUGCCUGUACUCAAUUGUUUAAAAAAAAAAAAGUGUCCCACUAAGUGUGCCUACAUUCCAGGCACACUUACAAGCUAAGGCUGAAUCAGAGCACCGACUGGGCCCUAUUCCUCCAUUAAGGUUAGACACUUCCCACUCCUCCACAGAGAGGAGGCCAGUUCAUCAGCAGAGAUUCCCCACUGCUGAAGACAUCUGCUUCCAGGAUUACAAAGUCAGCAGUUAGUUGCCCUGUAACUUUUGCAUGAUUUAUUUUAAACUUUGAAAACCGUGGCAAUAAUUGCCUUGUGUCAUUCACAAUACGUCAGAAGUUACAUACACUCUCACACACAACCUCUGCUCUGCUGAUACUGAGUCCUAGUUAUUGUCCUUGUUCAAAAUAGCUGAACGGUAAAGUAAAACUUUCUGCCAUUUUAUUUCUACGGGUAAAUUGACUUUUGCCACCCAGAUACAUAUGCCUUUGUGACAUGGAGACAGUUUUAAAGAGAUGUUCAGAAUGUUUUAACCAAGAUGGCCAAGGAGUCAUAUUCUGUAUUAGGUAUAGAAAUUCCAUUGCAAAUCAACUCACUUUCUGCAUCCCUUUCUCUAAUUCUUCCCUUCAAAACUGCCAUUCUAUUUGAGAAUCAAAACAAUGAAUAACAACGUAAUUGUGCAUUUUAAUUUUCAAAUUAAAAUUUAGUAAACACUUGCAUAAAUUACAGAGAAAAGACCAAAAAAAAUGAGCCCAUACACAUUUUUUACAGUGAACUGUAUCCCUGAAAUGUGUCUGAAAUAUUUUAACCCAACAAGUUAAUAAAUAUCAAAGCAAUAAAAUUGUCAAAUUGUGUGAUGUCACAGGCUCCAAAAGCAAAGUUACAGAUGUUUGUGACAUCACAUUCACUCUUAAUUAUGCUGCUGCUCAGUCUGACCAUAUUAAAAUGAAAUG